UCUGAUGGAGCACGCCGCGUGAGUGAAGAAGGGUUUCGGCUCGUAAAACUCUGUUGUUAGAGAAGAACAGCCGUGAGAGCAACUGCUCACGGUAUGACGGUAUCUAACCAGAAAGUCACGGCUAACUACGUGCCAGCAGCCGCGGUAAUACGUAGGUGGCAAACGUUGUCCGGAUUUAUUGGGCGUAAAGGGAGCGCAGGCGGUUUAUUAAGUCUGAUGUGAAAGCCUUCGGCUUAACCGGAGAAGUGCAUCGGAAACUGAUAAACUUGAGUGCAGAAAAGGAUAGUGGAACUUCAUGUGUAGCGGUGAAAUGCGUAGAUAUAUGAAGGAACACCAGUGGCGAAGGCGGCUAUCUGGUCUGUAACUGACGCUGAGGCUCGAAAGCAUGGGUAGCAAACAGGAUUAGAUACCCUGGUAGUCCAUGCCGUAAACGAUGAAUGCUAGGUGUUGGAAGGUUUCCGCCUUUCAGUGCCGCAGCUAACGCAUUAAGCAUUCCGCCUGGGGAGUACGACCGCAAGGUUGAAACUCAAAGGAAUUGACGGGGACCCGCACAAGCGGUGGAGCAUGUGGUUUAAUUCGAUGCUACGCGAAGAACCUUACCAGGACUUGACAUCUUCUGCCAAUCUAAGAGAUUAGACGUUCCCUUCGGGGACAGAAUGACAGGUGGUGCAUGGUUGUCGUCAGCUCGUGUCGUGAGAUGUUGGGUUAAGUCCCGCAACGAGCGCAACCCUUGUCUUUAGUUGCCAGCAUUAAGUUGGGCACUCUAGAGAGACUGCCGGUGAUAAACCGGAGGAAGGUGGGGAUGACGUCAAAUCAUCAUGCCCCUUAUGUCCUGGGCUACACACGUGCUACAAUGGGCGAUACAACGAGUUGCGAAACCGCGAGGUCAAGCUAAUCUCUUAAAGUCGUUCUCAGUUCGGAUUGCAGUCUGCAACUCGACUGCAUGAAGUUGGAAUCGCUAGUAAUCGUGGA
rnacentral:rRNA from 2 species